rnacentral:rRNA from 1 species
UUAAACGAUGUCGACUUGGNAGNUGUNNNGCCCUUGAGGCGUGGCUUCCGGAGCUAACGCGUUAAGUCGACCGCCUGGGGAGUACGGCCGCAAGGUUAAAACUCAAAUGAAUUGACGGGGGCCCGCACAAGCGGUGGAGCAUGUGGUUUAAUUCGAUGCAACGCGAAGAACCUUACCUACUCUUGACAUCCAGAGAACUUUCCAGAGAUGGAUUGGUGCCUUCGGGAACUCUGAGACAGGUGCUGCAUGGCUGUCGUCAGCUCGUGUUGUGAAAUGUUGGGUUAAGUCCCGCAACGAGCGCAACCCUUAUCCUUUGUUGCCAGCGGUCCGGCCGGGAACUCAAAGGAGACUGCCAGUGAUAAACUGGAGGAAGGUGGGGAUGACGUCAAGUCAUCAUGGCCCUUACGAGUAGGGCUACACACGUGCUACAAUGGCGCAUACAAAGAGAAGCGACCUCGCGAGAGCAAGCGGACCUCAUAAAGUGCGUCGUAGUCCGGAUUGGAGUCUGCAACUCGACUCCAUGAAGUCGGAAUCGCUAGUAAUCGUAGAUCAGAAUGCUACGGUGAAUACGUUCCCGGGCCUUGUGCACACCGCCCGUCACACCAUGGGAGUGGGUUGCGAAAGAAGUAGGUAGCUUAACCUUCGGGAGGGCGCUUACCACUUUGUG